rnacentral:rRNA from 1 species
GCUUGUCUCAAAGAUUAAGCCAUGCAUGUCGUAGUACUUGCUUUUCUUUACGAAUGGGCGAAACCGCGGACGGCUCAUUAAAUCGGUUACGGUUCACUCGCCCGUCCGCGUCCCGCUUUGUCGGGGCGUAGUCGGAUAACUGUGGUAAUUCUAGAGCUAAUACGUGCAACAUACGGCCUCCGAGAAUAUCGGGGGCCGGCAUUUAUUAGUCCGGCGUGCGUGGCCUUUUAGGUCUCGUGUGCCUGACGGCUCUGAAUAACGGCGGCGGAUCGUCCUCUUUCGAGGACGACCGGGCUUUUGAGUGUCCGCCUUAUCAACUGUCGACGGUAGGUUCAGCGCCUACCCGUGGUGGUUACGGGUGACGGGGAAUCAGGGUUCGAUUCCGGAGAGGGAGCCUGAAAGACGGCUACCACAUCCAAGGAAGGCAGCAGGCACGCAAAUUACCCACUCUCCGAAAGAGAGGAGGUAGUGACGAAAAAUAACGAUACGGGACUCUUAACGAGGCCUCGUAAUCGGAAUGAGACCGCUUCAAAUCCUCGAGACGAGGAUCUAUCGGAGGGCAAGUCUGGUGCCAGCAGCCGCGGUAAUUCCAGCUCCGAUAGCGUAUAUUAAAGUCGCUGCGGUUAAAAAGCUCGUAGUUGGAUUUGGGUCGACCGGGCCGCCGGGCCGCCGCCCCCGCGCGGCGAGUUCCCGUGCGUCCCCGGGACCGCACGUUCACCCCCGCGGUGCUCUUGACUGAGUGUCCGCGGUAGCGGGUGACCGAACGUUUACCUUGACAAAACCGGAGUGCUCGAGGCGUGGGCGUUCGCCGCCCGUACGUCCUCGCUGGGAAUAAUGGAAGAGGACCGUUGGUCAAAAAAGGUUUUUUGUCAAGAGAGGCGGGAGAGCGAACAAAGAGGUUGCGGUGGUGGGGGGUUCUUAAGGGGGGCAACUCCCUUUCCUCCCCUCUGCUCUUCCUCUUUCUCCUUCCUCGAAACCUUCCUCCCCGCGUCCCGCGUCGAGGCGCGGUGGGCGUCUUUCGGCGGAAAGGGUGGUUUGAGAAAGAAGGGUGGAAACGGGUGUUCGUUUGUCGGACGUCCGCGGAAACCCGGAAUCUUAUUCCCUCUCACUGUCGGGGUGCUUCCGUUUUCUCGGCGUCAGCGGGAGGAGGUCGAAAAUCAAAAUAAAUAUAACGUGUCAUGAUUAAGAGGGACGGCCGGGGGCAUUCGUACCGCGGCGCGAGAGGUGAAAUUCUAGGACCGUCGCGAGACGAACGAUAGCGAAAGCAUUUGCCAAGAAUGUUUUCCUUUAAUCAAGAACGAAAGUCGGAGGUUCGAAGGCGAUCAGAUACCGCCCUAGUUCCGACCUUAAACCAUGCCGUCCGACCGCCCGCCAGGGUUACUACCGCGACUCGGCGGGCGGUGACUUUCCACCGGGAAACCCUUAAGCUUUCGGGUUCCGGGGGAAGUACGGUCGCAAAGCUGAAACUUAAAGGAAUUGACGGAAGGGCACCACCAGGAGUGGAGCCUGCGGCUUAAUUUGACUCAACACGGGGAACCUCACCCGGCCCGGACACCGCGAGGAUUGACAGAUCGAUAGCUCUUUCUCGAUCCGGUGGGUGGUGGUGCAUGGCCGUUCUUAGUUGGUGGAGCGAUCUGUCUGGUUAAUUCCGAUAACGAACGAGACUCUAGCCGGUUAAGUAGCCCGAGUGGCGUGUUGUUGACUUAAAAACCGCCUCGGCGACGAUCGGGGUGUUUCCCUAAUGCCGUCUGGUUUUAACGCCGAUAGGGUGGUGGAAGGUGACAUUUCGAGCCGCGUGUGUCCGACGUCUCUUCGGGGGCGCCGGCACCGCGACCGGAUCUUGCUUUUUUACCUCCCCUGUCCCGUUUUGGCCUUUCGCUUUUUGGAACCUCUGUUUCGCUCGUCCGAGGUAGAAAAAACGCUAACGAGAGUCGGGGAAGUGGUUGUUACUCGUGGUUCGUGGGGGCAUACCUUAUGGUGUGUCCCCCUUCCCGGUUUCAAAUGUCUGCUUUUCCCGUCGUCUCGCGCCACCGGCUUUCGAGUGCAAAAGCUUCUUAGAGGGACGAGCGGCGUUCAGCCGCGCGAGAUUGAGCGAUAACAGGUCUGUGAUGCCCUUAGAUGUCCGGGGCCGCACGCGCGCUACACUGAAGGGGUCAACGCGCCGUCACGUUUCCCGGGCCGAAAGGCUCGGGGAACCGGUGGAACCCCGACGUAGCGUUCGUGCUAGGGACAGGGACUUGCAAUUGUGUCCCUCCAACGAGGAAUUCCCAGUAGGCGCGAGUCAUCAGCUCGCGCCGAUUACGUCCCUGCCCUUUGUACACACCGCCCGUCGCUACUACCGAUCGAACGAUUUAGCGAGGUCUUCGGACCGGCGGCCGAAGUGCGCGAGCGCCGGCGGCUUUCGCCGGGAAGAUGCCCGAACUUGAUCGUUUAGAGGAAGA